UUCCUUGAGCUGCAAGUGGUGAAAAACGCUCCUAAUGCCACGUCUGGCAAGUGCAAUGAGCAACCGUGGCCUCCCAGCACCCAGCCCCCACGCGGCAGAUGGAGCUGAGCAAGAGGGAGUUUUGCGUUGCUUCUUGUCUUUCAAGGAAAUAAUUCCUGAAGAGGAGGGAGGGCUCCACUCCGGGUAGAUAAACAGUCCUGUUGAGCCAGACCUCUCACAUUUCUGUUCUUGCAGUACAUGAGACAGCGUCCUGAGGGAUUGCACGAAGAGGGCUGUUGAGCUGGUGGGAGCAGAGUGAGAGCCCUAAGCUGCUGCCAUGCAACCUGGCUCUCACCCAACACCUUCAUACAGGGUGAGACUUGGCACAGCUGUAUGUGAGUGCAGGAAAAGGCUUGCAGCCCAUUAGGACACUACAUAAGAGCAAAGGAUGUGACAGAGCUGCAGGUUUGCCUGGAAGGUUCCUGCACCAGAUGUAAGCAAAUACUAGAGCUGAAAUUCUGGGAGUUACUGCAUCUAGAAACAUAGCACAGGAGAGGGAAGGAGAGAUGAGAUGUGCAAAAAAAGGUCUUGGUAGAGCCCCAGGAGAAGAUCCAACAUGGUUCAGGAGAGGACACGCACUGCUCACUGGGAAAGGCUCGUGGUGAUCAUCUUUGUAUGAGUCAGUGCUGAAGCAGUGAAUUGUCAGAUUUUAUCCAAAGAAGGAGCUGCACGUCGGCACAGGAUGAAGCAUUUCUUGGAUGAGGGAAGCAAUGCUUCUUCUGCUCCAAGUAACAGAGAAGAUGGAACAAAACAGCAUAGGCCUGCUGUAUGCAGAACUUAAGGGAAACUGUGUGCACAGCUGUGCUUCAAGACAUCGGCUUGCAGUUAAGAUACGUUAUCACUGGUUACCAUCUGCCAGGAUUAACCAACCUGCAGCUCGGCUAUUGAUCAAGAUAAUAAACCUGGGGGGAUGUGGCCACCCUUCCUCUGCAGCUGUGUGUGCCUCAUCAUGUUGUGGUGUCGGUGGGAGGAGGUGUCUGGACCCCGGGGUGCACCCAAAGCUGCACCCAUCCACGGAGCCAUCUCGUGGGGUUUCUGCAAGCUAGAGCUCCGGGUUUGGUUUUGUGGCUUUCUUGAUAAUUGUGAAGACUGGGGAGUUCCCGUUAAGAUGGGCUCGAGCUUGUGUGUACGUAUAUAAGAAAUUCACGAUUUAAGGAUAAAUAGUAAGUUGGGUUAUUUCGAUUCACAGCAUCACAUACCCCAUGAAAAGAGACUGUAAAUGGUUAAAGUAGAAUCAUAGAGUACCUGAGUUGGAAAUCCCCCAAAGGGAUCAUCGAAUGCAACUCCUGGCUCCACACAGGACUACCUAAAAAUUAAACCAUAUCAGAGCAUAACAGCAUUGUAGCAGUCCUCUCAGGGACUUGAACUUCCCUGUGCUGUUCAGUGGUGUUACGAAACAGCUGUAUCGUCCUCAAGAAGAUAUUUGGGUGCUCCGUGGCCGUGAUUAGGUGAAAUUAAUGUCUUAUGUGCCAUAUCGACAUUUUGGUCGUACUUCUACCCCUUGGGAGUGACUAUUAUUGCUUUGCUGCCCUGCUCCCCCUUUCCAGGAGGAGGCAGAGGAAAGAAGCUGGCAAUAUAUCAGAUGGUUUUCCUUUUUCUCCACUGUUAAACUGACAUUAAUGACAACCAACCUAUGAUGGAGUGUGUGAGUACAGAGCGGAAUCCAAGAUAGCUCUGACAUGUGACUGAUUUGUGAGCAUGUCUCUGGGAUUUCAUUUUUAAUUUUUUUUUACCUAACAUAGAGCUAAUUCAGUUUUGGUUUUCACUCUUAAAUAUAUUUGGGCUGUUUUCUUUUCGAAACUGGUAUAAAAACUGGCAUUCUACAGUCUGAAUUAUACGAGAAGCUGGCCAGAACCAAGCUAAGCAUUCCUGGAGCAGAGUUCCCAGCAAACGUGUUUGUGUGUGUGCAGCCCUCAGUGUCUGCCAGGUUCUUCUAUAAAGUGUUUAUGAUACUUAAGAUUAUUAAAAAAAAAAAGAAAGCUGGAUUUUCAUCUGAAAAACAUGCAGUUCCAGGGAAGCCUGCUUGCUGGAGGAGCAGAUGUGAGGGCUGGUAUCUACAGGGCGUUUUUCCACGCGUUCUGUGUGUGUGCAUCAUCCUUCCCUUCAUCUGUCUGGAUGCAGAGCCUCGCAGGUCCUGACCAGGAAUGCAGAACUGUUGUAAAAUUCACACAUGCUUGUCUUCUAAGAGCCUUUGCAUGGGAAAUUUGGUUAGGAAAUAUUUUCCUGCUUCAUCCUUCUCUGAGCUUUACUGGAAUUAAAGCUGAACCAAACUUUUCUGAAAACUCUGAAAUGCUUCAGUAACUUCUAUUUGUUUUCCUCAUGCCUCUGUACUUGGUUUCUGGCAGGACCUGAAAGCAGCACUGAGUCACUCAGUAAAGAAGCCUAUUUUGACAGCAUCCCCCUGGCCUAAGCAGGAAGUUCUCAAAGUCUGAAGACAUGGAGAGUUCUGGAUCUCGUAUGGUUAAAGCCCAGAUGUGCAAACCCUGAGAAGUGCUUAAACUUUUGAAAAUGUUUAGACCAUGCAAAACUGGCAGUACCAAGAACUUCAUCUGUCACCAGAGUCAACCAAAAAGGUGGCUGCAGCACAAAUCCCCAGUCUUAGAGCCACAUUCUUUGAAGUUCUGUUCUCUAACAUGACUAUUUUUAACAAAGAAAAGGGGGACAGUGGGGAGAAGCUCCAUCUUACCAAAUCUGCAGGCUUCCUGUGUUCUGAGUCAUAGCUGCUGGCUGCACUGACAAAAGCAAGCUUUUUUAAUUUGAUUUCUAUCCUCAUUAGUACAGUAGAGGAGGCACAGCAAAGACAGAGACAGCAAUAGGAUUGUGCAAGCAUCAACAAGAUGAUAAAUGGGUCCAUCAGUUUUCCUUGCUGGGAAUAACAAUAAAGAGAAGCCCAACUUCUCUCCCAGAUCUCAGCAGGAGUUUUGCAAGGUAGAAAUUGGGCAUGGGAAGGAAGGAGGCCGGGAGGAAGAGGUGGAAAGUUGUUUUUCAGUAGAAGAGAGAUGUAUCUAUGAGCAUUCAGCGUAUCACCAUUGUUUCUCUGUACGACAUCAUGCCAGUGUUGCUCUACAUAAAAGAGGCACUGAAGCAGAUCCCUCUGCAAACCAUAAAUCUGACAAAUGGGCAUUUCCCAGCAGUGCUUGCAUGUGAUGUGAUGCUAAGGAAGGCACAGAGGUGGUCACCCCGUGUGAAUUCAACCACCUGCUUGUGUCUUCUGUGACGAGGAAGGAAGAGAAAAAAGUGAAGGAUCGAAAGGGGAAGAGCUGGGUCUCUUGGUAUUUGCUAGCUGUAUGGUGCCUGCCAUGAACAAGUCAGCGCUUGUUAGCACUUCCUACGUGGUGGGAUGUGGCACACCACACUCCUCACCCCGUGCACAGAAGAGGAAAUUGCUGAUAACUGUGAUAGUUUGCUGUUGGGCUACCUCACCUCAGUUAUCUAAACUGCUGUAAAAUACAUCAAGGUGAAGAAAGGGCCCUUUCGGUUGCAUGCUAAAUAUCACCCUGCUUUCUGUACUCCAACAUUAUCUGUUGCUGUUCUUCACUGUCAAGCUGAGUUCUCGCCCCGAAGCAGUUGUAUUUCAGCACUGAAUACAGCAAUUCCUAACACGUGAAUGGAUGUAUGCCUUACACUCCCACAAAUCUCCAUUAGAGUUUAUUUUAUAGCAGUUCCUACCUUUGUGUUUGCAGAAGUCUUUGGGUACCAUCUGGGAAAAGCUGUUCUUUGUUAAAUUCCCCUUUAUUCCCUUUGGGUUAUAUUUUUAAGGCAGGAGAUGCUGAAGGAUGUUCUGAGGACGGUAAAAGCAGCUUGAAAUGAAGAUGUAGGAGGAAAAGUACUCAAGCUGUUUUUCUGCUUUUGCAAUUGAAAGGAAUCUCAUGAUAUAGCAAAUUUUCAAUGGCACAAGAAAUUCUGCUGUCUACUUCAACAUGGCACUAUUAGGCCAGCAACGGGGGAGCAGCUGCUCAGCCAUUGUAUAAUUGACAUCACUGAUAAUGACCUUGGAUUCGUAAUUAAGGUUCAUGAGGAUCAGAAAGUGGGGGAAAAAAAAAAAACAAAAAACAAACCCUGUCCUUACAAAAAAAUGAUGUAAACAACUGCGUGAGUGAGUACAUUGGAACACAACUGAGGGCUGAAGAAAUCCUGCCAGACCCAGGGCCCUGCAGGGGGUGAGAUGUGGGUGCCAGCGCUGUGAGAGUUUCCAGCUCUGUCCUGGUGAUGCUGAGCAGUUGACCAUAAGUGCUGACAUUUUAGGAGGAGGUCAGAGAAGCUGAGAUUAGAACAUGCUGCUGAAAACAACAGGAAGAAAAAAAAACAAAAAAAGGUAUUUUUGCUGGGAAUGAAUGAACAGGUUCAUGGCAGUAACACCGAAUCUGCAGCAAAGCAUGCUGCCUCCAAGUGUAAUCAGUGCCUCAAAAACACAUGCUGGCACGUGUUGCAUGUCGAUACCUCCUUUAUCAUACAUAUUUGAGAGCUCAGACUUCAACUGCCACCUGAAAUGAGCACUGUGGUUUUCUUUCCCCACUCAGUGGGUUAUUUGGUUGUGAUUCUGUAUCCUUUCCUGAGGCUCUUUAGAGUCCCAUGUAACUUUCAUUCUUUUCUCUUUCUAGCAAAAAUAUAUUUCAGGAAGUUCCAUAAUUGCACAUGUCUAUAUGGUGAGGUUUGGCACAGAAAACUUGAUGUGAGGUUGGCUUCUUUUUUCUUCCCUUUCAACUUACAAUGUUUAAAUUGGGUUCCUACACAGAUUCAAAAAACACAUUCUGCUGGGUCAUGCUGGAGCUUUGAGUCAUAACUUUUGUUAAAUGGGGAAGAAAAUCCACCAAGUAUUAUGCUGCAAACAGACCUUAUGGAGAAUCCCACACUAUUCCUGUGUGUAGAGAAUUUGCCAUCCAAUUUUUGUUGUGCAUUUUGAACUACAAACCUGCAGGCAAGCAUGGCAAUGCUCAGAGUUCAGCAGAACUUGAGUACUCUGGGUUUUGUUUGGGUUGUGCUUUAUUAGACUUUAGGCUAUUAAGGGAGGGGACUCCAAUUUCCUUUAAUAAAUAAUGUUUGCGUGCACUUGGGAAAUGCCAAUCAUGUUUUGCUGACUACUGAAGCCUAAUGCAUGAGAAAUGUAAAGCUGGAUGAGCACUGUUUUAUUCCAGAGUUUGAGUUGCAUUCUUGGAUGGGGUUACAAGCCUUUUUUGCUGUGAGGUAGGAGCUCUGAAGCAAUGCCUUUCAGAGCUGCCUCGAAACAGCACUAAAUGGCUGCUUUCAUGAGACUGAUUCUUAAUCAGAAGGCGCCUGGUACCUUAUGGAAGAUGGAUCCUGUCAAGCCAGACUUGGGAUUAUUUGUGAUGAAAUUAAAAAUAUGGUCAAUAAGAUACUUGUGGUUUGAGACUCAUGAAAAAUAUUUGUCUUGGUACUCAAAAUACUUAAGCUAGAAUGAUUCAAAAUCAAUGUGGAAGAGUAAAAGGAUUAAACUGGCUUGGAAACACAUCCCAAAACAUAAUUGUAAACAGGAAAUCUGAACGAAGUGGGUGUAUUUCUCGUGGGGUCUCCAAGAUUCUUUUGUAGCCCUAAAUGACCAAAUGUUUUACAAAUGGCCAAGCAGAAAACAGCAGUCAGGCACCAGCGUGGCACAUGAGACAAAGCCUGGUCAGGGCCACACAGCACUCAGGGCUGCUUGGUGAGCCGGGCAGGUGAAGCACCACAUUCUCCAGUGACCUCACGCCCAGAGAGGAAGGUCUGGUGAAGCCAAACUCCUUUCUGCUGCAGCCGGAGCUCCUGGUGCAGUCCAAGAGCAUGUGAUCCUUGAGGGAAAACAGCACAAACAGUGAUAAAAUACUUGAACUGCAGCUGUCCCCUAUGAGAAGCCUAUUAAACAGACAACGCUGUCAGGGUGCCAUUGAUCUUGUCUGGCUCUCCAGUCCAUAUGAGAAGAGUCAUCAAUACAAGGAUGGGACCUACUGGUUAUGGGUGAGAUUGCGCUAGAAAAAGUUGAAAUGCGGAAGAGAAGUUGCUUAUGGCAUGUGAAGAAUGGGGCUGUUCUAGACAGGACGCCAGGAGGUCUUUGACCUCCUAGUCAAUGAAAAAAGGUCCUUUUUUAGGCUCCUAAGUAUGCCUGGAUUCAGACAAAGUGGAGUUUGCUCCAGCCGAGCUCCCAGCCGUUUUCCCUGCUGAUGAGUUUUCCUGUUUACUCUCAUUGCACAGGGUGGACUGGUGGAGCUUACACUGACUUGGGCAGUGUAGAGGAAGUUAAACGUAGCAUCUGAAAGAAUAAAGAAUGAGGAUUAAGUAC